rnacentral:rRNA from 1 species
UAAAUACGACCACGAGACCGAUAGCGAACAAGUACCGUGAGAAAAAGUUGAAAAGAACUUUGAAGAGAAAGUUCAAGAGUACGUGAAACCGUUCAGGGGUAAACCUAAGAAACCCAAAAAAUCGAACGGGGAGAUUCAUCGUCAGCGGCGCUGGCUUCGCGUCGGUCGGCGAUGUUCCGAGGAGUCCUUGCGGCUCGCGCGCRGRCACGCUACCAUGCGUCGACGUCCGGCGUUCGUUGUCGUGCACUUCUCCCCAAGUAGAACGUCGCGACCCGCUGGGUGUCGGUCUGCGGCCCGGGUGCGGUGUCUGUCGCGUCGCCGGUAAAACGGCACGCGACAAACCCUCGGUCGCCCGGCCGGCUGCUCGGCGGUACGCGCUAAAUAUCAGGCCGCACUAUUCACGGUGCGUCGAGACCGUCGCAAGCGCGCGCCACGGUACUCGGAGGUUACGGACUUUGCGUCGUCCCCGGUCCUGGCCCGCUGUUGGUUACAGUACGGUACACCUUCGACAGGCCUGCGAACGUCUCCCGCGAUCUUCGCGGGAGACCGAUACCGGUCGGCGAC